GUGAAUUUGGUUGGAGUAAAGAUCUAAGGGUCCAUACUGGGCUAUAAAAAUAGUGUAGUACUUGAGCAGUACUGUAAAAAUGGCAAUUAUAAAUAAUUAUGAGUGUUGAGGAGGUAAUAUGAACACUCAAGUUCAAAGCAGUAAAAUAAAAAUUAAAAAAAAAAGACAGACUUAGGUAAGCCAUCUAUCAACUCGGAGAAUGCUGAUGCUUUGUUGAAAGAGAGCUUUGUCUUACAAAUUAGGCACUUAUAAAAACUCAUCACUCACUGCAGAUGUUACUUUAAGACAUUCUGGAGCAGCGUCAUGUGCAGGAGAAAAUAGUAUCAUCUCAGCCUUCUAUGAAAUCAAGGCAAUAUUCAUGUGAAAGUAUAUUCCAAACCCAGAACCUGAGCACAGAUUGGGACUGAGAAACACUUGUCUAGAUUGUCAGGCAAUCUGUAACAUCAGCAGUGGAUGGAAAGAAGGAGAAAGAUGAGUUUUAUGGACGCUAACCCAUCUAUAUGGCUUUGGAAAAUAAAGUACUGCUGUUUUUUUUUGUAAAGGA
rnacentral:lncRNA from 1 species